rnacentral:rRNA from 1 species
ACCGAGCGGAGGAGUUGCGAACGGGUGAGUAACGCGUAGGUAACCUGCCUCUUAGCGGGGGAUAACUAUUGGAAACGAUAGCUAAUACCGCAUAAAAGUCGACAUUGCAUGAUGUUGACUUGAAAGGUGCAACUGCAUCACUAAGAGAUGGACCUGCGUUGUAUUAGCUAGUUGGUGAGGUAACGGCUCACCAAGGCGACGAUACAUAGCCGACCUGAGAGGGUGAUCGGCCACACUGGGACUGAGACACGGCCCAGACUCCUACGGGAGGCAGCAGUAGGGAAUCUUCGGCAAUGGACGGAAGUCUGACCGAGCAACGCCGCGUGAGUGAAGAAGGUUUUCGGAUCGUAAAGCUCUGUUGUAAGAGAAGAACGAGUGUGAGAGUGGAAAGUUCACACUGUGACGGUAACUUACCAGAAAGGGACGGCUAACUACGUGCCAGCAGCCGCGGUAAUACGUAGGUCCCGAGCGUUAUCCGGAUUUAUUGGGCGUAAAGCGAGCGCAGGCGGUUAGAUAAGUCUGAAGUUAAAGGCUGUGGCUUAACCAUAGUACGCUUUGGAAACUGUUUAACUUGAGUGCAGAAGGGGAGAGUGGAAUUCCAUGUGUAGCGGUGAAAUGCGUAGAUAUAUGGAGGAACACC